rnacentral:rRNA from 1 species
UGAAUACGAGAUGCUACGGCGUCGAAGCAGUCUAUGUCAUACUUCCAAGAAAAGCUUGCACUGUCAUAAACAAAUAAUGCCUGUACCAUAACCGACACAGGUGGGUAGGUAGAGUAUACUAAGGGGCGCGAGAUAACUCUCUCUAAGGAACUCGGCAAAAUGACUCCGUAACUUCGGGAGAAGGAGUGCCUUAUUUAUAAGGUUGCAAUAACAAGAUCCAAGCAACUGUUUACCAAAAACACAGGUCUCCGCUAAGUCGUAAGACGAUGUAUGGGGGCUGACGCCUGCCCAGUGCCAGAAGGUUAAAGAAGUUGGUUAGCAUCCGCGAAGCUGAUAACUGAAGCCCUGGUGAACGGCGGCCGUAACGAUAACGGUCCUAAGGUAGCGAAAUUCCUUGUCGGGUAAGUUCCGACCCGCACGAAAGGCGUAAUGAUUUGGAUACUGUCUCGGAGAGGGGCUCGGUGAAAUAGACUUGUCUGUGAAGAUGCGGACUACCUGCACCAGGACAGAAAGACCCUAUGAAGCUUUACUGUAACCUGAAAUUGAAAUUGGACUUUACUUGCGCAGUAUAGGUGGGAGGCGUUGAGAAUAUUCUUGCGGGAUUAUUGGAGCCAUCAGUGAGAUACCACUCUUGUAAUGUUAGAUUUCUAACUUUGUAUCAUUAUCUGGUCAAAGAACAGUUUCAGGCGGGCAGUUUGACUGGGGCGGUCGCCUCCUAAACGGUAACGGAGGCGCACAAAGGUUUCCUCUGAACGGGUAGAAAUCGUAUCUAGAGUGUAAAGGCAUAAGGAAGCUUGACUGUGAGACCUACAAGUCGAGCAGGGACGAAAGUCGGUCUUAGUGAUCUGACGGUGCUGAGUGGAAAGGCCGUCACUCAACGGAUAAAAGUUACUCUAGGAUAACAGGCUGAUCUCCCCCAAGAGUUCACAUCGACGGGGAGGUUUGGCACCUCGAUGUCGGCUCAUCGCAUCCUGGGGCGGUAGUACGUCCCAAGGGUUGGGCUGUUCGCCCAUGAAAGCGGUACGCGAGCUGGGUUCAGAACGUCGUGAGACAGUUCGGUCCAUAUCCGGUGUAGGCGUUAGAAUAUUGAGAGGAGCCUUCUUUAGUACGAGAGGACCGAGAAGGACAUACCUCUGGUGUACCAGUUAUCGUGCCAACGGUAAACGCUGGGUAGCUAUGUGUGGAGUGGAUAACCGCUGAAAGCAUCUAAGUGGGAAGCCCACCUCAAGAUAAGUA